rnacentral:tRNA from 1 species
UGUCCUGUGGUGUAAUUGGCAACACGUCUGAUUCUGGAUCAGAAGAGUUUAGGUUCGAGCCCUAACAGGACAA